UAAUAGUAGAUCGCCGGAAGUUUUGGGACUGCAAAAUGUUCUCAAAAAAUGUCAAUGGACCAAGUAGGGGAGAGGGAGGCAGAUGUGGACAAUUAAAAAAAAAUAAUAAAUUUGACCGUUAAAAAUAAAAAAUUUCUGCCGGUAAUUUAUAUCUGCCAAUUCUACCGAUCUGCAAAAUUCAACUACUUUUUCUAACGAGAUGUCCUCCCUUAAGAGUCUUUCUUGAAGUCCUCUUGAUUUCACUCCGAGAAUUAUUUGGGAUUUUAAUAAUUUAUCUUCUUGGGUCUCAAAUUCACAUAAUCUUACUAGUUUUUUUAAAUCUGCAUAAAAUGAUUCAAAACUUUCAUUAUCUUCUUGUUUCCUUUUAAAGAACUUGAACAACUGUACCGUCUCAUUCGCUUUGGGAACGCAAUAUUCUUUUAAUGCUUCUAAAAUCUUUUCCAUAGACUCCUCUUCAGGUUUCACAGUUUUAAUUGAUUCAUAUUUUAAUAAUGCUUCUCUUCCUAUUAGGUUUUUUAAUAUCGCCACCUGCACUUCUUUUGGUUUUUUCUUUGUUUCUGUUGCCGUUAGGUAUACAUUUAUUUCCGUUUCGAACGUUUUAUAGUUCGCCGCGAGGUUUCCCUCAAAGACCAAGGGCAUUGGCUUAUUAAACUCCAUUCUUCUGUUACCUUUUCUUCUCCUGUACACAAUUAUUAUGACUGCGCCAUGUUUAUUAUUGUCUCUGAUGAAAUGAUUGAUUUAUUAAGUGAUUUUAAUCAAUUCGGCUUUCCUCAAAACGAUUGUUUAUAUUAUGAUAUUCUAUGUUUUGUUUGAAGGCAAUUGUAUUGUGCCAAUUUUAAAAAUACCACACAAUAUUCAUUAGUUGAAUAUUACGUUCUAUUUGAUUUGAAACAAUGGAAAAUGACAUUUACGUUAUUUAAAAUAUAUAUUGUGACUAUUACGAUGUAUGUUUUAUUCCUUGUUAUACUAUUUAAUAAUAAUAAUAAUGCCUUUAUUAAUAAGUCGCAAAAAAAGGAAGGAAAAUAAUAAUACACUCUUAGAAAAUAGACUUAUUUUCUGGACGAUUUCGUUGGAAUUAUUAUUUAUAUGUGUCGAAACCUUUAAUGGUAGCACUAAGAAUAAGAAAAACUGUACCAAGGUAGAAUGAGCAAUUAUAGAGACCUGUGCAUGCAAAAUUUAACAGUUUAACAGUGCAACUUCAAAACAGUUGCCCUCUGGCGUAACCGCACAGACCCGCCUCACCCAUCAUUAAAAUUAUUUUUAUUUUUAUCAAAAAGCCUGUGAUAUUGUUACUACGUUAUUUCCGGCGUAAUGUAACAUGUUACAAAGCAAGCAUUCGUGCGGUCAGUACGGGGAAACAAGCGAGCAACGAGCCGCUCGUUGCUUGCUCCGAGUGCUCUUUGAAGGCUUACGCUUCAGUCAGUAAAGACCCACUGCAUCUCCCAAAACCGUGUAUUUCAUAGACAAAUAUAGAGAAUAACCUGUUUUAUGGAACCCGGCUCAUCAAGACCAUUAUAACAAGACAGAAGACGCUUUGGUUAGAUUGGUUUCAUUAGUCGACAGUUAACCAUAAUUUAGCAAGAUGAAAAUGACAAGUUAAGUCUUCAUUGAGGACGGAAAAACAAAAAAUGAAACAAUCCAGUGGUACAGGUAAAGGUGCAGAAGAAGUUUUACCAUAGUACUUGGUUUGCGUACAAAGCUACGAUAUUUGUACUCGAUAGAAACUAACCUGGCGCCACAACAGAUACUGCGCUUCAAUAAAAUUGCAAAGCCUAUUAAAUUUAACGUGCCAGCGUCUAUUUGAAACAUUAAUUCUCCCCGAGGAUGAAGCAUAUCCUCAAAAAUUUUAAAAGUUCGAAUUUUAUUCAAAUGGGUAUGUGAUGGAACUUCUGGAGUUAAUAAAUAGGUAUAUGCAAUUGUUCCACACAGAAGACUCAAAGGUUCGGAAGAAAAUGAAGAGGUAACAAUAGUUUACUCAAAUACCAGUAUUUUUAUGUAUUCUGCAGUUCCUCUUCAAUUCCUUGGAAUUACAAAUGGUACCCAAGAAAAAGUGGUUCAAUGGGAAAAGCCACAUCCUUCCUCGACGAGAUAUUGUCGUCCAACAAAGUUUCUCUUUACAAAAGUGUUGUAUAGGCAACUUAUAUAACUAAGUAGUUUCUAGAUCCCUCAACCGUUACAUUGUAAACAUGACCAGCAGUUAAUAAACAAACUUCAUAAGA